UAGGGAAUUUUCGGCAAUGGACGAAAGUCUGACCGAGCAACGCCGCGUGAGUGAAGAAGGUUUUCGGAUCGUAAAACUCUGUUGUUAGAGAAGAACAAGGACGUUAGUAACUGAACGUCCCCUGACGGUAUCUAACCAGAAAGCCACGGCUAACUACGUGCCAGCAGCCGCGGUAAAACGUAGGUGGCAAGCGUUGUCCGGAUUUAUUGGGCGUAAAGCGAGCGAAGGCGGUUUCUUAAGUCUGAUGUGAAAGCCCCCGGGUCAACCGGGGAGGGUCAUUGAAAACUGGGAGACUUGAGUGCAGAAGAGGUGGGUGGAAUUCCAUGUGUAGCGGUGAAAUGCGUAGAUAUAUGGAGGAACACCAGUGGCGAGGGCGGCUCUCUGGUCUGUAACUGACGCUGAGGCUCGAAAGCGUGGGGAGCAAACAGG
rnacentral:rRNA from 1 species